UUAUUUCAAACGUUCGUGCCGUACAGUCGCGCCGUGGUCGUCUGCUGCCGUGCCCCGUUUGCUGUGUGCCGUUGUGUGUGCGCGCGCGGCACACCAAGUCCCCGGUCCUGUGGCCAAGGAAAGUACACGCACGUACCAACACACAUACACACGGACACACGGACACACAAGGUUACACGUAAUGGUUUUUUAUCCAAACCAGUAGGAAAAAGGGCUUACACGAAAAAGCGAGUUGGAAAAUCUAAGCUCACAGCGAAACAGAAAAGGCAGCAGCAGUGCAGUAUCGCGUGUUUGUUGCGUGUUUUCGGUGCGUUUGUGUUGCGCUUCUCGGGUGUGCGUCGCGGAAAAAUAAAAACCAGAUUGCGUGCGGUGUACGACACUUUCCAGUUGGCUUUCCGCUGGCCGGUCGGAACGGAAAACGGAAUCGAACGCGACUGCGGAAAUUCGCGAGCGGAGGUUUUGCGGAGAGAAAUUCGGUGCAAUGGUGUAAAGUUUUUCUUUCAAAUUAUUAUUCUACCAUGAACGCUGUGCCGGGCACGAAACUGAGGGAAGAUUUUUACUCAGCAAUUGUGAACCAACAAGUCUGAUAAGAAAACGCAGCGUUUGACGGGAAAAAUGUUGUUGGGAUUUUUUUUUAGUUUCUCGAUAUUCCUAAACCGGCCAUCUUCAACCCGAACACACACUGGAGCCAAACGGAAAAAUCGGCAAAUUCGCGAGUGAUUUUUUUAGUAUCGUAAAAAAUUGUGACGUUUUCUGAAGCUAAUCAGUGAAAAGUGGUGAAGCAUUUUUUAAAUUCAGACACCAGCGAAGAGAAUACAAGACUGCAAUUAUUUUGUAAAACGUUCGUUAACAUCCUUUGUCCAUGCUAAAUUAAUGCGAAAAAAGACUCAACAAAAGGAAAUUAUGGCCUUUUAAGUAAAAAAAAACCCCGAAAAACCAUGUGGAAGAACUGACUGACUGCGAGGGUAAAGUGUUGGGACCAAAAACCUUUUACAAAAAUGUGAAUCUAAUGUGCUUAAACGAAUGAAAUGAUGACGCCUUUGAAGCCCGCGGGAUUGUCAUUUGCCACCAUGCCACCAACCGCACGGAACCCCCCCACACCCCACCAAGGCUAACAAUCAAUAGUUCUUCACCACCCAAAUGGGAACCAUCUGCUGCGGCACGGUGUCUCGGUGAUCAUUUAACUCCUGCCGCGGGGCUUUCGGGUCGGUUAAGACGGACCAGGUAAACUCCAACUUUACAAAGACCACCACAGAAAAAACCCGAUCAUUUGAGGCUUGAGGCAACUCUCCCGCUUUUUUGUGUGUGUGGCAUGGCACACCACAAACCGAAACAUAUGUAUCGAAUGUCGUCCGCGCCAUCGACGGCACCACCGGAGGCGGUGGAAGCUGAAACACGAAAAACAACAACCUUCCUUCCUCGCCGGGGAGCUGCCCGGGACUGACCUAUAAUUAUGAGUACCAGCCGGCAGGCAUUCCAAGGCCUUCCUGAAAGCCUUUCUGGAAGAGGAGGUGGGGCGGUAUCGGCUUUCAGUUGUGCGGUCAAAUGGUCACUGAGGCUUCGGCUUCUUAUCGACACGUCCACGAAAACAUACCAAAAUCCUCUCCCACCAAGGCGUGGAGAAGCUUUCGCUGGCCAAAACCGGUGUCCAUGUUGGACCAGCAGCGCAAAAAAAUUACAAAAUCUUCAAAGAAAUCACUGGAAUUUCGCAUGCCUUUGUUGCUGCGUUUACAAAUUUUUAAGAGUCUCCUUUUCCUUUUUUUUUACUCGGCUCGCUUCCCAUUUCGCUUUAGCGCUUUGCGGGCCACGGCAAAGAUGGUCGGACGCCAACUAACGCGUAUUCCGGCUUCAACGGUAGCAACCCAUUACACAAACACAGACACACACACACACACACACACACUCACACACCACCAUUCUCGGCAGCGAUUUUGAAAAGGUCAAAUCAUGUUUUCAUGUCGUUGUUUUUUGUUGCUUCGGGAUGGUUCGCACGCAACUCGGUUGUGGGGAAAUGCAAGCUAGUGGAGGAAAAAUGCACCACCAAUUGCAUUCCUUUCGGGACUGUGCGGAGAGCGGUGCAGCGGUGGGGUUUUAAUAUUUUUUUUUUUUUUGUGCUGCUGUUUUAAUCUUUGACAUUUUGUUUCGGGGUUUUUCGGUCGCUUGCAUGCGAACAAGGCUUUUGUCGGGUUUUGUUUGUGCAAAGACUUUUAGUUCUUGGAGGAUUUUUGAGACUUUAGUAGACAGCAUUUGUUUUUUUUAUUUCGGCAAAGACCUGGGAAUUAAAUCUUAGAUGAUCUCGAAAUAUACAUGCAAAACAAUCAAAUAUUUAGUACAAAAUGCACCGUACUACAUCACACAAGUGAAGACGUUUCGCCAACUUCACUCGCCAUUCAGAUUGAUGUCUUACUCCAGACGCGGGCCAGCAUGAUUGAUCAGCGUGGCCCCAUAAACCUGUCCAAUUUCCAUAUCGAUGGAAGGCGUCUGUCCGCUGGUGCCUAAUAUCUAUCUCCCUUCUCCCGACCGGCCAUGGCUUGAUUUAUUGUCCUGCCGGAGGUGAAGCCCAUUGCCUCUCAUUUUUCAUCCACCAUCCUGAUGACGAUCAUUAUGCAGUGUGUAGUGGAGUGUUUUCGUGUGUUGAUGUGCCAAUAGUCCAAUAGCCGGCGGACGGGAUCCUUCGUUAAGGGCUCGGCCGCUUCGCAAGCAACUCUGUGCCUUCCCACGUCUGCGCCUCCUUCGCCACGGCCGCCAAAUUGCUUCCCUUCACCUGUUUAAUGAUCUUCGCCAACCCUUUCGCUUCACCGUGAACGCUUCAGCGGCGUGGAUUUGCUCUAUUCCGUUGUGGCGUCGAGCGGUUUGUCGUAGGUGGGCGUCAUGUAAGGCGCUAAAAAAACGCACACGCUCACACACACUGAUUAAUGUUCGAUGAUGUGGCGGAAUCCUUUCCACAGUUUGCGUGUGUGGGAGAAGGUUUUUUUGGGCAGAAUAAUUAACACCCGUCGGGGUUAGGAGAUCACAACAAGGCGGAGAACCGAUCGUUGUGGAAAGUCUGGCAAAGCAUUGGAAAGGUACGCAAGACUUUAAUGAAGAUUUGUGGGAAGGUUUUUUUGGGGCUUGGUUGCCGAAUUCUCACCGGAUGGAGAAUUAUGAUGAAAAGAUGUUGUUGUGUCUGAUAUUUAAAAACUUAUUCCUGCGACAUGGAAAGCAGCUAGCAGAUAGACAAGAAAAAGCAUUCUUGUCUUUUCACAACCCUUCCGGGAGGGCGGUUGUCAAUGGCACGGCUACCGUGCUGAAGUAAAAGAUCCCCCACACCCGGCUCCAGUUUCCAGGUUGACUAGUUUCCGAUGCAAUUAAUUUUUUUUCCAUCGUCGUUUGUUAAUUGAAACUUUAGAGCCCCUCAGUUAGUUCAACUAGAACGCCCGGAGAGGGAAAUCAAUCUAGGAGGCAAGCAAAAAUGGGGGACAGCAUAGACACGGUCGCAAACCAACAGAAAACCGUGCCAUGUGGAGAUGACAUCCAUCAACCGAAGCCGUAGAUAUCCGCAGAUGCCCCCGGUAGCGAAAGGGUUUCCCUCCGAUUGCUCCGCUUUGAGCUGAGCGCGGCUCACACGAAAUAUGAUCUACAACCCAGCAGCAGCAGCAGCAGCAGCAGCAGCAGGCAUGAAUACAAACACGGCAAAAGGGGUUUGGACAAUUUUAAUUUCACAACAUGACUCCACCACCUCCGCACACUGCGCCCCCGGUGCGCUGCCCACAAUGUGUUUAAAUUGCGAUGAUAUUUUUAAGCGAGCGCGCGCCCUCUAAACCACACGAGCUGCCGAGGCCUCCUGCCGGUGCGGACUGUGAUGGUGUUGCUUGAGCUAAGCUAGGCCGCAUCUCGUCGCGUUGGCGUCGACGGCCGGCUACGCCUCUGCUCGGUGGGAGGGCCCCUUCGCUCACUGCCAAGGGGGCUACGGAGUGUAAACAAAGGCUAGCGUCACAGGGGCACCGGGUGCGAUUCGAGUCCAACCAUUGAGUCCCUUCUGUGUGUGCGAGUACUUGGACGGGAAGUCAAAAGCAAAGGGACAAGUCUUUGCAGCUGCCAAUGAUCGCGACAAUGCAAAUCCUAAAAACACGGGGAUUGACUGGACGAGUUUGACCGGCCUGUGAGCUAACGUUGCCAACGGUUCACGAAAGAAUCAAGCGAACGCAAGACAUCGAAUUUGCCCAGAAAGAACCCGCAUCUCAAGUGCACUCCAGUGGCGGUGACGCAACAACGCGUUGGGAAGGGUCUUUUUCGCCCGGCUGGGACAGCUCUUCCGAGCUCUCGGGAAUCUCGCGCAGUUUGCGCGCUCUUCGCCCUUAAGUGGUGUGCUUAGCCGUACCGAAAGUGGCCCAAAGCCCAAAAACCCAUACACAAAACCACAGGGCGUAGUAUCGUUCCCGGUUGGGGAAGUUCUCGUACGCAGAGCAGCGAGCGAAGCCGUACGACGACGGUUGGUUCUUAUGCGGGAAUAGAAAUUUUGGAGAUGGUAAGACGCGAGGCACUCCUUCCAUCGCUUUGCCUUGCACAGAACCAAGUGGUGCUUGUACUGGGAUGUUCUUUUCGUUUCGAGUGUGGUUUUUGUCGUAUCAGAAAGGUUGUGUCCUACCCAUGCCCGUGCUUCAUCUGCCCUCUGCCCCGGCCUUGUUUUUGCUUGUGAUUAUUUUUUGAAAAGUAUCGAUUUCAUCCAAGAAUCUUCGGCAGAGCGCGCCAGAGGUCGUCCCGGGGCAUUCCUUUGGGUUGAUUCGAUUGGUUUCGGUCCUGGGCACCGAGUGCCUGUGUUUCUUGCGCUCGCUCUUGACAUUGAUGCUGACAUGUGUUUCCUCUCCGCACGCUGUCCUUUCUGUCUCUGUCUGGGCGAUGGUUUCCUGCGACUGGUAACCUGAACACCCCGUGAAGCCAUCCACGGGGAAGCGAGAAAAAGAGCGACACUGGUUCGAAUGUAAUCGAAGAUCGUACGCUUCUCGCUUCCUAGGCGAAGGAAGACGGCAAAGGCCCAGCGAUCGUUUUCUUGCUCCUCUUCUACUUCUUCCCAUUACGUCCCUUGAUCACGGAGAUCGGUUUCAAUCGGUGACCAACAGGCCGAAGGAAGCAGGAAAAGAGGAUACUCGCACAGCGUUUCGGCCUUAACCUGUGUGCCACGAUCACAAAACCACAAAGUUCGGUGGAAACCUGUUCAAUAAAACUUUAUUACCUUAAUCCCCACAGCCUUUUCGCCUACUUCCCUGCGCUGCUCUUCCUCGCUUUUUUUUUUUUGUUUUGUUCGCCGCUCCAGCCCUAAACGUCCCAAAAGCAACUUCCAACAAAAUCGAGCAAAACCUAAUGGACCUAAUCGCCAGCCAUACCGUGGGCCGCGCUACAUUUUCGGCAAACGAAGCGGUUGGCGAUCCUUUGCGCGCUCUCGAUCCGUGUGCUCCGGUGCGGUUAGAGAUGGGUGGAAAAUUUACGAUCGAUUUCGAUACCAUAAAAUAUUCAAAUUUGCCGCACGGACGAAUCAAAACCUGCCCGUGCCGAGGUUCGGGCCGCGAUUGCUUCGUGUACGUGUGACGCGCGGGUUUUGCAUUCUUCACGUCAUUAAAAUUCAAUAAAAUUAAGGAACCGUCUAGUGACUGGUGGGACACUCCAGCGAGACUUGUCUCCAAAAGUCUAGCCGACGUGUCAGACAUGUGCUGGGAGGAGUGAUUUCUGUGUUUGAUAAUAAAAAAGUUCGUAGUUCUUAAAACAUCCCCUGAAGUGAACGAGCUUUUUCAAAGCUUGUGUUGUCUAGUAGUCUUCGUCAACAGCAUCUACAACGACAUAAAACAUCAUUUCUAUGCUGUGAGUUUGCAAAAGAAUAGGAUUUGUUACUUUUUUAUUGCAAUGAAUUGCUUUCAGAGGGUGUAACGAUCGCUGGAGCCUUCUGAGUAGUGCGAUUUGUAUGUGAAUGUAUUUUUCUGAACAACCUACGCAGCACAGUUUGGAGUUUUUUCGCUUAACGAAAGCCACACGUAAAACCGAAAUCGUUAAGUGUGAUUUUAUCUCAAACCGGACUAACCAAGCCUAAGCAUUCGCUUUUAAGUUGUACCCCAAAAUCACUUCGAAACGAUAAGCAUUUACGGAUGUGUGGGCGCUAGAAAAUAGUUCAGUUUUCUUUGUGCAACGAGAGCGGUGCGUUUCCUCUUUGGUGCGUCAAAACUCACCGCAACCGGUGGACGGAUUAUAGCGCUCGUUCGUUGGUGAUUUUGAAUUGCCAUUUCAAUUCCAAAUGGAAGAUAUAGAAAGAUGAAGAAAAAAAAAAAACCACACACCAUUCAACCCUCAUAUGCAAGGGGUGUCACAUGUUUGCUCACCUUGCACGACGCUUGAAGGCAAUAGCGAACGGAAGCAUUCAAGAGCAUUUCUGCCCACAUAUUAAAACUCGGCUCUAUAGUGCAUAUGUUACUCGGGCAUUAGAUUCCUGUUUUCAGUGAGCGGGUAUAGUGGAUUCCAAAUCUUUUCCACAAACAAUUACACAGACACAAAAAACCAGAUUGGACAGAUGACAUACUGACGAGUGAUUUGAAGCGAACCCCAAUUCUUGGAAAUCAAUAUGCUGUGCGGACUGUGCGAACUAGUGACACUUUAAUCCCGAGCAAAUCCUUCCCAAUAAACAGUUCCGGUGGUGUUCCAGGAGAAGGAGUGGUAUAGCGACCAUGAGUGGAACAGUACUAGCAUUAGCAGCGCCAUCUAUUGACACACAAACGAAACCUUUGCUUUGCCUCUAAAACGUGUCAUAGCUGAAAAGGCAGAAAUGUUUAAUUUUCCUCUCACAAAAUGGGAUCAUUUGUGCACCGCAAACAAGGCACGUUGCAAUCGGGAAUAACUCGGCAGCAAACCUGGCCUGGAUAUUUCCGUCGCAGCGUGGUCACGUGGCAAGUUUUGCGAAUCGAGUUAGGGGAGAUAGGUGCAUGCAAAAGGAGAGGAGAACGGAAGAAAGGAGGAGCACUGCAUCGGUAGUCAUCAAUUACCGGGGUUUAUUACAUUAUUGUUAUAAAUUUACAAAACAACACUACAACAAACAGCCAAGCCCCUAUGACUCUCGCCAACCGCUCACCAAGCUAAAUGGGAACUUUGAGCCGGUUUUUGUUGUUUAUUUUUUUGUACUUUGCAGUCAUCCAUGUAGCGAUGAAAAAUGUGACAAGAUAACAGGCCGACGGGAGGCUGGUGUGGAUGCAAAUGCUGCCAACAAACACAUACGAGCACCGAGCGCUCCACACUCCACCUAAACAGGUUGGAGCGAAGGAAAGCAAGAGCAGGGUAGCUCGUUUUGCUGUAACAUGCGUCAUGAUUGUUUCCCAGCCCGUCCCGAUCUUCACCCUGCGUACCACCAGCAACACAACAGCCAAUGUUUUGUGCUCUGAAGCCUUCCCGAUGAUUAAUUCUUGGUCGUGGUUCUACCUCCACUUAUACCACCGUGUUCCACUACCGGUCUCUCCCCGCUCGGCUUUGGCAAUUGCAAUGUCCUUCGGUGUAUCCACGACACGGCCAUGCUUCAAAUGCCCGUGCCCAUUUUCUGGGACAUCGUGUUCGCCCGUUUUCGAUUAAAUUGGCCUGCAGCAACAACAACAACACACGGGAGAAAGCAGUGGAAAGCAGUUACUCCAAAUUAAGUCAUAAAUGGUAAUAAAAUGGAAAUUUAUUGUCUGCUCUCUAGCCAGUGCAGCACACGAAGCUAUACGGGGUGACGGGCCAUGUGGUCUAUGGGAAAGCGCUUGCGCUUGAAGUGGUGCUGGUCAUCGUUUACCGUUGGGGGGAGGCUUUCCUUGUUUUUGUGUAUUUCGGGAGUGUACUUCAAUUGCUGCUCACAAACUUCGACAAGUUGCUGAAAUUGAACCAAACGGGAUGAUAGAGUUUACCCAAAAA